rfam:Bombyx mori DNA, contig: Bm_scaf13_contig10565, strain: p50T/Dazao, build 2, whole genome shotgun sequence.
ACAACAUUCGGACCGUCGGUCUACCGAGCAAUAUCAUCCGCUCGGUGGAAGAUCUUCCCUUUGUUGU